rnacentral:tRNA from 1 species
GCUUGGUUGGCUCAGUCUGUUAAGCGUCUGCCUUCGGCUCAGGUCAUGAUCCCAGCGGUCCUAGGAUCGAGUCCUGGAUCAGGCU